rnacentral:rRNA from 1 species
CACGUAGGUGGAUAGAUCAGUCGGGUGUGAAAGCCCCGGGCUUAACCUGGGAACUGCAUUCGAUACUGUUUAUCUAGAGUAUGGGAGAGGGAAGUGGAAUUUCCGGUGUAGCGGUGAAAUGCGUAGAUAUCGGAAGGAACACCAGUGGCGAAGGCGACUUCCUGGAUUAAUACUGACACUGAGGUGCGAAAGCGUGGGGAGCAAACA